CGCGUAGGCGGUUGAUGCAGUCAGAUGUGAAAUCCCCGGGCUUAACCUGGGAACUGCAUUUGUGACUGUAUAGCUAGAGUACGGCAGAGGGGGAUGGAAUUCCGCGUGUAGCAGUGAAAUGCGUAGAUAUGCGGAGGAACACCGAUGGCGAAGGCAAUCCCCUGGGCCUGUACUGACGCUCAUGCACGAAAGCGUGGGGAGCAAACA
rnacentral:rRNA from 1 species